AAAUCUCAUAAACACAUCUUUCUAAUAAAUUUUUCUUUCUGUUACCUAUAAAAAAGCAAAAACCGUAUAUUCUAAAAAGAAGGCUUGAGACUGACAUUCAGUUGUUCGUAUUUUUAUCAUUUUGGCGCCAAUGUGUGAGUCUUAAAUCAAUUAGUUAGCAUUAUAUUUUGGCAGUCUUUGCUGAAUGAGAUCUUCUGACAUAGAAGGCCAGGAAUUCUGGAGGUAAGCCAUUAAGAUCCUGAACCAUCAGACAGUAACAGAUUUUGGGUUUUAGGGGGUCAAAAAUAACAUCACUGUUCCCAACCUGAGAUCAGAACCAAUUUACAGAGAAUGAUACAGGAGCCAGACAGUUAGAGAUCAAAAUGUCAGGUUUAUUACUGAUAAAAGCAAUAGUGAAGGACAUAGCUUAGAUAGUCCUAAUAGGCUUUGCUAAGACUCCUCCAAAUUGAAGUCACCCCUCUUCCCGUUACCACCGAACAGACAACAAACAAAACCCUGCCACCCACAGUGCUGGCUGCACAGUCCUGCUGGACUCAAGUCUAUCACAGGACUGAUGGCCGGUGGGGGUGGGGGUGGGUAGGGGGUCCACCUUCUGCAGCCUGUGGGAUUCCAGAGAGAAGGGCGCAGGGACAGAUGGCAGUAAGUAUGUCCAGUUCAUACUUGCAAACCCAAGUAAGUCAGCUUCUUCUCUGAGGAAGGGGAAUGUAAGGCGUGGUGAGUGGAUCUUCCUCCCUGGCAGAGUUUCUCAACGUCAACUCCACUGACAUUUUGGACUCACUCAUUCUUUGUUGUGGGGAGCUGUCUGACACAUUGUAGGAUCUACCCACUAGACAGUGACGGCACUCCCAUCAGAGGCGACAACCCAAAGCAGAUCCAAGUAUCACCGAAUGUCUGCAGCGGGGGUGGGGGUGUAGACAGGCAACCGAUUAAGAACCACCCACUGGGGACUUCUUUUCCUUGGCAAGGUGAGGAAAAAGCAGUUAAGUAUUCCUCGUUACCAACUAGCACUUCCGUGGAACAGGCCACUAGAUUUUAAAUUCUCUGGCUACUUCUUUGAAGAGAAAAGUCUAGAAAAGUGCCUUUCGAAUUGGCAACAACACUUUCAAUUCUAACAAAUGAUAGCUCCGGCAUUACCAGCAGAGAAGGCAAUGUCACUUGUCGGGAGGAGGAAAGAUCACCGUUGUUUCCGCUGAUCAGAAAACACAAAUGUUCAUAUAAAUGUUAUCCAUGAGAAUUAGCAGAAGACAGAGAUAAAAAGGAAAAAGUGUAAAAGUGGAGGGGAAGAAUAAGGCCAAAUUCAUCCCCCGAAUAUGUGCAUGCUCCUUACUUAAGCAGCGGUCUUCUGGAUGUCACAGGGGGUUAUAAAAUGUACCUGAAUGUGUCGUAUAAACUCUACCUUCCCUGUCAUGAAAAAUAUGGGCUUUAUGACACACACCCAUAAAAAGUUCAACGUCAGUAUCAUGCAGCAUGUGAUUCAGUGCAAUUCAGGCCUCUUUUACUGCUUUGGGGAACCUACCUUUAAGCUCCUUGAAGUGAAGAAAGCCCUGGCUUUGUUUCUUUUCUCAGUCUGCAAGGCUGGUGCUCCCUCCAUCAGAGGUAUUUCGUCUGGAGUAGGUGACUUUCUUACUUCCAAAUAAAUCCGCUUUCCAUGUAGCUAUAGCUGCUGUGUAGUAAAUGAUCAGAAAAGAAAAAAAUCCCAUUAGCACUUGACUUUGGCUAGCUAAGGUUACGGAACAAGACAAGAAACUAGGAAUAAGACAAUCAAGUGUGUUCAGAGAUGGGGGUGUAGGCUAGGCACGGUCAUGGGGCCAGAGGCAAAAGUCAUUUAAAGGUCAAAAUGUAAUCUUGGUCAGAAAAUGCUUGAGCAAAAACUAAGGAGACCCAAAGAGUUAAUUAGUCCCACCUUUUUGAUGUCACGUACUCCUUCCAGGAUCUGAUAAAUGCUAUCUAUUCCGUUCCCAAAGAAAUGCAUAUCUAUGCACAUACACAAAUGCACAUUCAGGCUUUUCUAGAGUUUCUGUAGGUAUUCACAGAUUAUUGAUCUAGAAUAAGGUAGGGCUGUUGGACAAAAGUCUGGGUAGCCAGGGUGACUAACUGAACAAGAGAUUCUCAAUUACAACAUGAAAUAAUGUCUUUUUUAAAAAGAUUUCAUGUAUUUAUUCGUGAGAGACACAGAGAGAGGGAGAGAGAGGCAGAGACACAGGCAGAGGGAGAAGCAGGCUCCAUGCAGGGAGCCUGACGUGGGACUCGAUCCCAGGACUCCAGGAUCAUGCCCUGGGCCGAAGGUGGCGCUAAACCGCUGAGCCACUUGGCCUGCCCAAAAUAAUGUCUUAAAUGAAACAUCAGCAUAACAGAUGGUGUGGGCAGUAAUACAGGUAAUUUAGACCCAGAAUUCCUUUUGAAGAAAAAAAUAUAUUUGACCUUUUGAUUAUAUAUCUUUAUGGAUCAGAUUCAAACAUCUCUAAUUUAUAUUGUCUAUAGACACAGCUGAUCUAAAUAAGUAUAUAUCCUAAAAGUCUCCUUUUUCAGUUUGUACCAUGUCACUGAUACCUUAAUUAUAAAAUUUUAGGAUCCGAUAUGUGAGAGAGAACAGAUUUGGUAGGCCAUAUAGAAAUUUAACAUAUGGCUUUAUAAAUACUUUUAACACAGAUGUCCUUUGUGUUCUUAGAACAUAUUGCCUGUUUGUUGUAACAUUUGUGUGUGUGUAUGUGUGUGUGUUUCUUUAGACAUUUUAUCUUGACUUUUUAUUUUUAAAAAUUCUAUUCAAUUUUCCCUAGCUCUGGAUAUAAAUGUCAUGAUUACAUUACUCUUUACCUUUGGCAUUGCCAAUGCAAAACAUAUAUGUAACUAUAAAUUAUCUCCCUCAACUUAUGCUUGUUCUGGUGUUCAAUGCAAUCUCACCUUAGCCCUAUGGCAAGCUAUAAUAAAAUUUAACCUAUAUCGAGUGUCUACCAUAUGCCAGGCACUGUUCUAAGUACCUGACAUAAAUUAUCUCAUUUAAUUCUCAAGGACUACUCUGAAUUAUUAUCUUCUUCCUCCAAAUAAAAAGAUCUGAGCCCUAAAAGGUUAAAUAACUUUGAUCAUCACUACUAAAAGCAACAGAACAGGAAUGCGAACAGACCUCUGAUUCUCCAUUAAAGGGUUUCUAACAUUUCCACUACGACAUUAUAAAAGGUACAAUUCUUUAAUUUUUUAGUUCUCUUCUUCAUAGACAUUAUUUUAAUUUCUAAAAAAAAAUAUGUUUCCAUAUAUCUUUCCAAUAUGGGUGUUCUAUAUGUAAUUUAGAGAUGAUGUUAAUUUUAAUAUCUCUCGAGUUGAUCAAAGGAGAGAUGGCUGAUUUCACACUGCAGGGCAUAAGGGCAGGGCUACACAGUCCCAAAACAGAGAUGGUUGGCCUUUCUCCUGCUCUGUUGCAUUUUAAGCAUCUAUAAAAUUUUUGCUUAACUUGUACUUGAAGUAUGAUUCAUCUUUUUCCAAUCUUUUCCUUCCUAUGGGUCUGAAAAAAAAUCUACUAUAAAAUCCUGUUUAAUUUGAUACCUUAAUUUUUCUCUUUCUUUAAUUUUCUUCUCAGAAGAGAAGGAAACUUAGUCAGGUGAAGAGAGUGCUUUCAGGGGGUUCAGAAGGCUGAGAUUUCAUUUCUGACUCUGCUAGUGACCUGUUAUAUGCCCUUGGGUUUAACCUCACCGCACCGGACUUAGUGAAGAGGUGUUUCAGCUUCUCUGCUAACAUGCACUCAAUGGGCCAGAUCCUUCAAAUGAGCCAAUUGCACUUGGGGAUUAAGUUAAGCCAUUUGGAGGGGCAUUAACCCUUUCUGGUCAAUGAAUUUUUUAUGCAUGAGUAGAAUAACUUACUAAACAGCACCUACUGUCCUUCAUUCUGCACUCCUUCUCCCCCAGUUGCCUAACUUACAUGGGAAGUAUCACACUCGGUCAAUAACUAAGUAAUACUUGAGAGAAAUGCUGAGCAGUGGGGAAAAAAAGAAUAGAGAGAGUAAAUGAAACGACCCUCAACAAACAGGUGAACAAACUGUAGAAAUCAAUGACAUGAAAAUGGACUGCUUUCUCCUCCUCAUUGAAUUCAGUAGUUGCCUGUUUGUGUCUUCUCCCCUUUGCUGGCAGCAGCAUUCCAGGAGUCAAUGUGUCAUGGAAGAGACCUGCAUGGCCACUGCACUGCCUGAGAAAGAGCCUGUUCAUUAAAUUCUGGGAUGGCACCCAUUGCCCUCUGGAUCAGAGAUAAACUCUUGAUUGUUGCCUUCAAAGCUCUCCAUUAGCAGGACUCACUCUACUUAUUUGUUCUAAUCUUGAGCCUGUCAAGGACAUUCUCUCUAGAGUAGAAUCACAGUGAGAUCCUCCACUGCAGCCUCCAUCUUCGCUGAGAUGUUCUAGACACAUGCCCUGCCUCCCCCACUUGCAGGUUAGCCCGAUUCCUUCUUUGCACAUGAAGCACGAGGCUUGCCUCCUCCAAAGCUCCCCACUGUCAGUUCUUCUGGGAGAAUCCACUGUGAAGCCAGGGCUCUUGAAAGUAGAAGUGUAUUUUCCUUUAUCGUGAACGUGGGGUUGUGAUUCUAUUAGAUUUGUAUACUUCUUGAGUACUAGGGCCCUUUUACUAAUUGAUAAUUUAGGUGUCUAGUCUGUGGUCAGAAAACUUGUUGGUAGGCGAGAGAGAGAGAGAGAGAGAGAAGACUAAAUUUCGCAAUCUGGGGACACAGCAGGACUCAUAUCAUUUCAUAGAUAUUGGGAACAUCCUUUUUCAGUUUGGAUUGUGGAACUGUAUUUACAUAUCUAUUCACAUCUUAGGCGUGGGUCCUUAUCACAAAAUAAAGAAGAGAAAUCUCUUUAAAUAAAAGCAAAUGAGUUAGAAAGAGGAAAUUAUUCUGUUUUGUUUUUUCUGUUAAACAAUUCAUUUAAAUCUGCAACUGAGAGCUGUGGGUUAGGAACAAACAGAUGUUUAAUAAUUUCUGAUUCCACUUUAUUACAGUAUUUCCAGAUCAAACUUGA
rnacentral:lncRNA from 1 species